rnacentral:tRNA from 1 species
AGGUGAUUGAUGUAAUGGCAGCAUAUUGGUUUCCAAGUCCAAGUGUAGGGGUUCGAGUCCUUUAUCAUCUG